GACGAACGCUGGCGGCGUGCCUAAUACAUGCAAGUGGGACGCAAGGGAACACACUGUGCUUGCACACCGUGUUUUCUUGAGUCGCGAACGGGUGAGUAACGCGUAGGUAACCUGCCUAUUAGCGGGGGAUAACUAUUGGAAACGAUAGCUAAUACCGCAUAAUAUUAAUUAUUGCAUGAUAAUUGAUUGAAAGAUGCAAGCGCAUCACUAGUAGAUGGACCUGCGUUGUAUUAGCUAGUUGGUAAGGUAAGAGCUUACCAAGGCGACGAUACAUAGCCGACCUGAGAGGGUGAUCGGCCACACUGGGACUGAGACACGGCCCAGACUCCUGCGGGAGGCAGCAGUAGGGAAUCUUCGGCAAUGGACGAAAGUCUGACCGAGCAACGCCGCGUGAGUGAAGAAGGUUUUCGGAUCGUAAAGCUCUGUUGUAAGUCAAGAACGUGUGUGAGAGUGGAAAGUUCACACAGUGACGGAGCUACCAGAAAGGAC
rnacentral:rRNA from 1 species